UACGUAGGAUGCAAGCGUUGUCCGGAAUUAUUGGGCGUAAAGGGUGCGCAGGCGGUUUUUCAAGUCAGAUGUGAAAUAUCCCGGCUUAACUGGGAGGGGCCAUUUGAAACUGAAAGACUAGAGUGCAGGAGAGGAUAGCGGAAUUCCCGGUGUAGUGGUGAAAUGCGUAGAGAUCGGGAGGAACACCAGAGGCGAAGGCGGCGACCUGGACAAGUACUGACACUCAACUGCGAAAGCGUGGGGAGCAAACAGG
rnacentral:rRNA from 1 species